rnacentral:RNase_P_RNA from 1 species
GCAGUCAGCCAGACGAUCGCUCUUCUUCGUGCUUCGCUUCGGCGAUAAGGCGAAGGGGAGAGGAAAGUCCGAACUCCGAAGGGCAGUGCGCCGGGUAGUAAGGGUGAAAAGGUGCGGUAAGAGCGCACCGCGCCGGCGGUAACGCCGGUGGCAGGCAAAACCCCGCACGGAGCAAGACCAAAUAGGGUGGCGGAUGAGGGCGGCCCGUCCCAAGCCACCGGGUAGGUUGCAUGAACCCGUGAGCAAUCACGGGGCUAGAGGAAUGAUCGUUACGCCGUAGCCCGCAAGGGCGAAGGCGAACAGAAUUCGGCUUACAGGCUGACUGCGACG